rnacentral:miRNA from 1 species
GGUUUCUCUGUGUAGUGUUGCCUGUUCUGGAACUCACUCUGUAGACCCGGCUGGACUUCAACUCAGAGAGAUCCACCUGCCUCUGCCUCCCCAGUGCUGGGAUCAAUGGCGAGAGCCAGCAAUGCCCG